UAUAUGUCAGACUACCCUACCCUCUGCUACAUGCCAAACUUCUCCAUCCAUGUCAUGCAUUCAGACUACUCCACCAUCUACAUCACUUCAUGCUGCUCCUAGCACACCUACUCCACAGAUUAUCCCAUUCACAGCUACCUGUCAGACCACUCCCAACCCGUCACAGCCUACCCCUUCCAUAUCUACUGCUCAAACUGGCCCACCUACAUCCACAUCUCAGACUAACACUUCUGUAUAUACAACUCAGAUCAACUUGUCUUCCACAAGCUCUCAGACCCAUCCAGUACCUCAUAGUAAUAUCAGUUUCCAAGAAGUAGAAAGUGUUUUAACACUUUCAUUUGGUCGAAGACAGAAAAGGUACCAAGUGACAGUGGACGAGUUGAGACGAAGAGUUGGGGCCCCGGAAAAUAUGUCUGCAAAUACCCUCGUCUCCUACCUUCGUGUUGAUAAGAACAAGAAACAGGAGUUGAAACAAAGGCUUCAAAAUGCGGGUGUCAGCCCUGGACCUUUAACAAGUGUGGUGUCAAUGUGCUCAAAAUUAACUGAGGCUGAAGCUUGUGAGCUGGCAGACAGCUUGGGGAAGAUGGCAGCAGCUUACAUUCCAGAUGACAUUCAACUCAUGGAGUUAGCCAACAAGGAUGUUGCACUGGGGAGACUUGCUUUUUUCAAAGACCUUCUAAACGAAGCCAAAACCCAGCUGCAUCAGCAUGCAACAGCCUUUGACUUAGUUACUCAUGGCCUUGGCCUAAAAUUAUUCGAUGUUUUCUUUUCAGUCCUGGGAAAGGUGGCAGACUCAGAGAUCAGAAAGUAUAGUGCUGCAGAAUAAGACUUAGUCCAAACCAAGUCUGAAACAAGAUUGAAACAAAGCUGAAGUUCGUUUUGGUUUUAAGUGGCAGUUUAUUGCAAUAAUUUACAUCCAGUUAUCACCCAUGUGGUCUCCCUGUAAUUUACACUAACUGGUUUGUAAAAUAUUGUAAUUUCAGUGAGUUGCUUUUCCAGAUGUUGUGCUAAAUUCUACCUCACUGACAGAAUCAAACAGAAGUGCAGGUGCAUCACACAGCAGAAUGAGUGUAUCUGAUUCCAUUUUUUCUGUUUAUAAAUUAGGUCUAAUUUACAGUUAAAGUAGAUACAGAAUCACUAGCAUAAUAUGUUGUAUCCAUACAACUGCGCUAUGAAGGGGAGUUUGAUUUCAGCACUGCAUCUUUUUCUUAUUCCAUUGUUUAAUGGGUGAAAACAAUUGGUCUGAAAAUCAGUAACCAUCUAGAAAAGGGUUUUCACACUGCCUUUGAAAAAGACCAUGGUUCAGCACAUUCAGACCUUGAACACAUUUUUUUUUUGGUUGGACCAAAUAAUGGUCCUAUUUUCUGAACCAUGGAUCAAGGCACCUUUCACACCUGCUAUUUGGUUCAGACCAAACAAGUUAAUAAUUUAGUUAUACUCCAUCCUGUUGUUCUAAUAAAUGUUAAUUUUCUUACA
rnacentral:lncRNA from 1 species